rnacentral:rRNA from 1 species
AAAAACAGAUAAGGGCAGACGGUGGAUGCCUUGGCUCUCGGAGGCGAAGAAGGACGUGAUAAGCUGCGAUAAGCUACGGGGAUUGGCACAUACAAAUUGAUCCGUAGAUUUCCGAAUGGGGCAACCCGGCAUGUAGAAGACAUGUCACACUGCAGAGCAGUGAGCGAACGUGGGGAACUGAAACAUCUAAGUACCCAUAGGAGAAGAAAACAAAAGUGAUUCCCUUAGUAGUGGCGAGCGAACGGGGACUAGCCCAAACCAAGUUUGUUUCGGCAAACUUGGGGUUGUAGGACCUCGAUAUAGGAAGACAAGAUUAGGAGAACGGUCUGGAAAGGCCGGCCAUAGAACAUGAUAGCUGUGUAUCCGAAAAUCUUCGUUGGACUUAGAGGUAUCCUGAGUAGCGCGGGACACGUGAAAUCCUGUGUGAAUCUGCGGGGCCCAUCCCGUAAGGCUAAAUACUCCCGAGAGACCGAUAGUGAACCAGUACCGUGAGGGAAAGGUGAAAAGAACCUCGAACAGAGGAGUGCAAUAGAUCCUGAACCCGUCUGCCUACAAGCGGUAGGAGCAGCCCUGUGCUGUGACUGCGUGCCUUUUGCAUAAUGAACCUACGAGUUACUUUCUCUGGCAAGGUUAAGUGAUGAAGAGUCACGUGAGCCGAAGCGAAAGCGAGUCUGAAUAGGGCGGUUUAGUCAGAGGGAGUAGACGCGAAACCAAGUGAUCUACCCUUGGUCAGGUUGAAGGUUGGGUAAAACCAACUGGAGGACCGCACCGGUAAGCGUUGAAAAGCUUUCGGAUGAACUGAGGGUAGGGGUGAAAGGCUAAUCAAACUUGGAGAUAGCUCGUACUCCCCGAAAUGCAUUUAGGUGCAGCCUGUGGAGUUUCUUACGUGAGGUAGAGCGACUGAUUGGAUGCGAGGCUUUCACCGGCUAUCAAGUCCAGACAAACUCCGAAUGCACGUUAAGUAAGAUCCACGGAGUGAGGGCAUGGGUGCUAAGGUCCAUGUCCGAGAGGAGAAGAAUCCAGACCAUCGGCUAAGGUCCCGAAAUAAUAGCUAAGUUGACCAAACGAAGUCAGAGUGCGAAGACAGCUAGGAUGUUGGCUUGGAAGCAGCCAUUCAUUUAAAGAGUGCGUAACAGCUCACUAGUCGAGUGCUUUGGCGUGGAUAAUAAUCGGGCAUAAGCUAUUUACCGAAGCUGUGGGAUGUGUAAACAUCGGUAGGGGAGCAUUCUAGCGACGCUGAAGGUGAGAGGACAACUCUUGCUGGAGUUUCUAGAAAAGCAAAUGUAGGUAUAAGUAACGAUAAAGGAGGUGAGAAACCUCCUCGCCGAAAGACUAAGGGUUCCUGAUCAACGCUAAUCGGAUCAGGGUUAGUCGGGGCCUAAGGGGCAGCCGAACGGCGGACCCGAUGGAAGAACCGGUUAAUAUUCCGGUACUAAUUAUGUGAGCGAUGUGGAGACGGAGAUGUGACGGUCCUGCCACCUGACGGAAUAGGUGGUUGAAGGGUGUAGGAGUUGAUCUGAGUAGGCAAAUCCGCUCGGAGAUCCGAACCUGACAGUACUCUGAGUGCUUGCACAAGGAGAUAUGGACAACUGUAACGGUGCUCCCAAGAAAAUCCGCUAAGCAUAUUGCAUGAUUACCCGUACCACAAACCGACACAGGUGGUUGGGUUGAGUAUACUAAGGCGCUCGAGUGAUUCGCGGUUAAGGAACUAGGCAAAAUAGUCCUGUAACUUCGGAAUAAAGGACGCUCACAGUGAAGGCUGUGAGCCGCAGAGAAUAGGCCCAGGCGACUGUUUAACAAAAACACAUGGCUAUGCUAAAUCGAAAGAUACUGUAUAUAGCCUGACACCUGCCCGGUGCUGGAAGGUUAAGAGGAGAUGUCAUCGCAAGAGAAGCAUUGAAUUGAAGCCCCAGUAAACGGCGGCCGUAACUAUAACGGUCCUAAGGUAGCGAAAUUCCUUGUCGGGU